ACUCCUACGGGAGGCAGCAGUGGGGAAUAUUGCACAAUGGGCGCAAGGCCUCNAUGCAGCCAUGCCGCGUGUGUGAAGAAGGCCUUCGGGUUGUAAAGCACUUUCAGUCGUGAGGAAGGUGGUGUAGUUCAAUAGCUGCAUUAUUUGACGUUAGCGACAGAAGAAGCACCGGCUAACUCCGUGCCAGCAGCCGCGGUAAUACGGAGGGUGCGAGCGUUAAUCGGAAUUACUGGGCGUAAAGCGCAUGCAGGUGGUUUGUUAAGUCAGAUGUGAAAGCCCGGGGCUCAACCUCGGAAUAGCAUUUGAAACUGGCAGACUAGAGUACUNUAGGAGGGGGUAGAAUUUCAGGUGUAGCGGUGAAAUGCGUAGAGAUCUGAAGGAAUACCAGUGGCCGAAGGCGGCCCCUGGACAAAGACUGACGCUCAGAUGCGAAAGCGUGGGGAGCAAACAGGAUUAGAUACCCUGGUAGGCUCU
rnacentral:rRNA from 1 species